rnacentral:tRNA from 2 species
GGGUCUGUAGCUUAAUUGGUAAAGCAUCUAACUGGCUGUUAGAACGAUAUCGGUUCAAUUCCGAUCAGUAUCCACCA